ACCUACGUUGUUGACAGAAGAUAGAGGGCACAGACGAUGAAAUGCAUAUUUGGUGCAUCUCAAUCUUUUGUGCUCUCUAUACUUCUGUCACCACCUUUUCA